GACGAACGCUGGCGGCGUGCUUAACACAUGCAAGUCGAACGGAAAGGCCUCUUUCGGGGGGUACUCGCGUGGCGAACGGGUGAGUAACACGUGAGUAACCUGCCCUUGACUUUGGGAUAACUUCAGGAAACUAGGGCUAAUACCGGAUAGGAGCUCCUGCUGCAUGGUGGGGGGUGGGAAGUUUCGGCGGUUGGGGAUGGACUCGCGGCUUAUCAGCUUGGUGGUGGGGUAGUGGCUUACCAAGGCUUUGACGGGUAGCCGGCCUGAGAGGGUGACCGGCCACAUUGGGACUGAGAUACGGCCCAGACUCCUACGGGAGGCAGCAGUGGGGAAUAUUGCACAAUGGGUGGAAGCCUGAUGCAGCAACGCCGUGUGCGGGAUGACGGCCUUCGGGUUGUAAACCGCUUUCGCUCAUGACGAAGCUUUGUGUGACGGUAGUGGGUAAAGAAGCACCGGCUAACUACGUG
rnacentral:rRNA from 1 species